AUACCCUCGGACGUGGUCGUGCCCUGCUGUCUACUAGGCACUGACGGCCCAAGAAGUAGCGUUGCACGCUCCUGAAGCGACCCCAGGUCAGGCGGGACUACCCGCUGAGUUUAAGCAUAUCAAUAAGCGGAGGAAAAGAAACUUACCAGGAUUCCCCUAGUAACGGCGAGCGAACCGGGAAAAGCCCAGA
rnacentral:rRNA from 1 species